GAAUUUUGAGUUUAAAAAAAUAGGACCCAACAAAAGAUUCAAAUUAUAUGUCAUAACAAAAGCUUAAAGGUUACAAAUCAACAUUAAGUUUAAAAAACUUUUACUCUUAACUACAAAACUGGUAAAAAUAUAAAAAAAAUCAUAGUUACUCAAAUAUAUUGACAAAUGAGGCAAACCAAAAACAUAUUGACAAAGCAAACGUUUUAAAUAAAAGAAUAGGAUUAAAAGUGAUACCAGUUGGCAAUCUUUAUUUUUUGUUCCUUGGCUAGAAG
rnacentral:lncRNA from 1 species